AGCCCUGGGCACCCCCAGUGUUGCCUGGAUCUGACUCUGCCUCAGUGAAAACUGCCUCGAAUUCUUUCUUGCACCGAUGGGCAGAUGGGCAAUGUCCGAGCAUCAUGUGGUCUGCCCUGUGG
ensembl:misc_RNA